UUACUAGAUUAGUCAUAUAUUUUUUACCACGAAAGGUAGUGAGUUAAAUACAAUUAAUUAUAGGUGUGAACUGUUACGUGUUAUAGUGACAUAAUAAUUAUAUUUUGCAGUGAUAGGCCUGUCAAGCUAUUUGAUAACUUGUUGUGUAAGAAACAUAUUAAGUAUUAGGUCAUACUACUAAAGUUAAGCUUUGUAGUGAGUAUAAAUGUAGAUAAAUGUUUAACGUUAUAGUUUAAUCACUAAACUAUUGUGUAUAUAAACAUAAAUAAUUAGUAUUUGUAUUUAUUAUUGCACUAUAUAGUCUUUAUUAGUUAUAUUAAUAAUGUAAGUAUGAGUAAUAAAUUAAAUAUAGUAAAGGAACUCGGCAAAUUACUGCUCAACUGUUUAUCAAAAACAUAACUAUAUGAUAUAAUAUAUAGCCCCUCUGCUCAAUGGUAUACUAAAUAGCCGCAGUACUCUGACUGUGCAAAGGUAGCAUAAUCAAUUGGCUUUUAAUUAAAGUCUAGAAUGAAUGAAAACAUGGGUAGUGACUGUCUACUAUUAUAUUUUAUUGAAUUUAAUAAGUAGGUGCAAAUGCCUACAAAGUUAAAAAAGACGAGAAGACCCUAGAAACUUGUAUACUUAUUUUGUUGGGGCGACAGAAUUACAGAGAACUAAUUUUAUUUUACAGGACGAAAGCAGAUAGAGUAAGUUACUCUAGGGAUAACAGCAUAAUUUUACAGUUUGUGACCUCGAUGUUGGACUAGGUAAAUAAUUUUUUAGAAGGAAAUUUAAAUGCUCUGUUCGAGCAACGCGUACCUACAUGAUCUGAGUU
rnacentral:rRNA from 1 species